UUAUGCUAGUGACACAAAGCUUGGUGGCAUUGCCUUUGCAGAGAAGGAUCAAAAUAUCAUGCAGGAACAGAUGGAUCGCUGAGGACAGAAAUAAAGAGAAACGGAUGAAAUUUAAUAGUACAAAGUUCAAGGUCAUGGAGUCACAGCCCAACAAGAAUUUCUGCCAAGAACUGGUAGUCUAUAUUUUGGAAACAGCUGAAGAGAAGGAAAAGACUUGAGGCUACUGUCUGGUUAUAGAUUACUGCCUUCUCACUGCUGCCAAUGCAACGGGAUCCCUCUGUAAAGUAGACGAUGGAAAAAAAGAGGUUGGAACCUGUUGCAGUAAUUGCAAAAUGUCUGGUGCAUGUAUGGAGGCCACAUCAUGGAGAGCGCUGCACGCAGCCCUGGUCAAACACGUGCAAACAAGAUCAAUGCAAAGCGGAAGAGAACAUCAGGUAUUUAGAAAACCUGGAAUUUAAAAAUCCUCUUCUACAUCUGACAAGACAGCACAAAAGAGCUUACAAGGAGAAAAUGAGACCUCUUGCGCCGAUUCUGACACCCUGCUGCCUACCUCCCACCCCAGCUAGUGACCAGCGUCAGCGUUAAUGAGGGGCAGACGGCAGCGUGCCUCUGUUGUAGCUGCUCGCUCUUCUUGUAGCAUCGCUGAUGACCUCCCCAGAGCGCGUCUCUGAAUAAGCAAGCUAUUAGUGCGGAAGAGCCCACCUCACGUAGCAAUUCCAGGGAUUGCAUCGUACCUUCCAUGGGACACUGGUGCUCCUGCUAACGAGGAAGAUAGUGGUAGACUUGGCCACGCUGCAAUGUGGAAAAGGGGAGGGCUGGGAAGAGAGAGAGAUGGAGAGGAAGAUGACAGUCUGGUGUUAUUCCAGGAGGUAUGGU